GACGAACCGUGCAAACGUUAUUCGGAAUCACUGGGCUUAAAGGGCGCGUAGGCGGCUUGCCAAGUCAGGGGUGAAAUCUUUCGGCUUAACCGGAAAAGUGCCUCUGAUACUGGCAGGCUCGAGGGAGGCAGGGGCAUGUGGAACUUCCGGUGGAGCGGUGAAAUGCGUUGAUAUCGGAAGGAACGCCGGUGGCGAAGGCGGGUCUCUGGGCAGUAACUGACGCUGAGGAGCGAAAGCGUGGGUAGCAAACAGG
rnacentral:rRNA from 1 species